rnacentral:rRNA from 1 species
AUGCCAUGCUUCCAGGAAAAGCCUCUAAGCUUCAGAUUGUAAGGAAUCGUACCCCAAACCGACACAGGUGGUCGGGUAGAGAAUACCAAGGCGCUUGAGAGAACUCGGGUGAAGGAACUAGGCAAAAUGGUACCGUAACUUCGGGAGAAGGUACGCUCUUGAUGGUGAAGUCCCUUGCGGAUGGAGCUGACGAGAGUCGCAGAUACCAGGUGGCUGCAACUGUUUAUUAAAAACACAGCACUGUGCAAAAUCGUAAGAUGACGUAUACGGUGUGACGCCUGCCCGGUGCCGGAAGGUUAAUUGAUGGGGUUAGCGUAAGCGAAGCUCUUGAUCGAAGCCCCGGUAAACGGCGGCCGUAACUAUAACGGUCCUAAGGUAGCGAAAUUCCUUGUCGGGUAAGUUCCGACCUGCACGAAUGGCGUAAUGAUGGCCACGCUGUCUCCACCCGAGACUCAGUGAAAUUGAAAUCGCUGUGAAGAUGCAGUGUACCCGCGGCUAGACGGAAAGACCCCGUGAACCUUUACUACAGCUUGGCACUGAACAUUGAACCUACAUGUGUAGGAUAGGUGGGAGGCUUUGAAGACGUGACGCCAGUUGCGUUGGAGCCGUCCUUGAAAUACCACCCUUGUAUGUUUGAUGUUCUAACGUUGGCCCCUAAUCGGGGUUGCGGACAGUGCCUGGUGGGUAGUUUGACUGGGGCGGUCUCCUCCCAAAGAGUAACGGAGGAGCACGAAGGUGGGCUAAUCACGGUUGGACAUCGUGAGGUUAGUGCAAUGGCAUAAGCCCGCUUAACUGCGAGAAUGACGGUUCGAGCAGGUGCGAAAGCAGGUCAUAGUGAUCCGGUGGUUCUGAAUGGAAGGGCCAUCGCUCAACGGAUAAAAGGUACUCCGGGGAUAACAGGCUGAUACCGCCCAAGAGUUCAUAUCGACGGCGGUGUUUGGCACCUCGAUGUCGGCUCAUCACAUCCUGGGGCUGAAGUCGGUCCCAAGGGUAUGGCUGUUCGCCAUUUAAAGUGGUACGCGAGCUGGGUUUAGAACGUCGUGAGACAGUUCGGUCCCUAUCUGCCGUGGGCGUUGGAAGAUUGAAGGGGGCUGCUCCUAGUACGAGAGGACCGGAGUGGACGAACCUCUGGUGUUCGGGUUGUGUCGCCAGACGCAUUGCCCGGUAGCUAAGUUCGGAAUCGAUAACCGCUGAAAGCAUCUAAGCGGGAAGCGAGCCCUGAGAUGAGUCUUCCCUGAUACUUUAAGUAUCCUGAAGGGUUGUUCGAGACUAGAACGUUGAUAGGCAGGGUGUGUAAGCGCUG